AUUGAACGCUAGCGGCAUGCCUUACACAUGCAAGUCGAACGCAGUUGCGAACGGGUGAGUACCGCGUAGGUAACUGCCUCAUCGCGGGGGAUAACUAUUGGAAACGCUUGCUAAUACCGCAUACUGUGAGAUGGACCUGCGUUGUAUUAGGUAGUUGGUGAGGUAAAGGCUCACCAAGGCGACGAUACAUACCCGGCCUGAUAGGGGGGUCGGCCACACUGGGGAUGGAGCACGGCCCCGGCUCCCACGGGAAGGAGCAAGAGGGAAUCUUCGGGAAUGGACGGAAGUCUGACCGAGCAACGCCGCGGGGGUGGAGAAGGUUUUCGGAUCGUAAAGCUCUGUUGUUAGGGGAGCGGUAACUAACCAGAAAGCGACGGCUAACUACGUGCCAGCAGCCGCGGUAAUAC
rnacentral:rRNA from 1 species